CCUAGAAAAGAAACAAGACGUUUCUCCAAUGGUGUGAAAAAGCACUCCCGCAACAUGUAUUGUUUUGGAUGAAACUGAAGCCCUACACAGUGUCAUCUGAUGGAAAGAGUAUCUCGCAUAAUGAUAAAAUCUAUAAAAAAAAAAAAAAAUCUCAGGGAUGUCGCUUGAAUGCAAUCAGUCCAGUUACUGUUGUAUUCCUCUCUAGGGAAACCAGCUUGUGGGAUAAGUGAAUUUUCUACUGAGCCAUAAGCUCCUUUUAAAUCAUGUUUUAGAAAAUGAAACUUAGAAAUUAAUUUCUAUGAGUAUAACUCACAAGAGCUCCAAUGAAAGCAAGGGGUUCAUCAUCUGCUUUCUUUACUGUUAACGUAGUUCUUCAGAGUUUCCUCAGUCAGUGAGAGAACUUGAAUUUGAAAUGUUUCGGAAUCUUUGGAUGCAACUGCUAGGCCUCAACUUCUGCACUAAUUUUGCAGGGGCUGAGAACUAUUUAUAGAUUUAGGUUGUAGUAUAUAAAAUGGCCAUAUUCAUUUUUUUAUCUAAAAACAGCAAUUUUGUAUCUCUCAAUCCAAUAUAAGACAAAAAAGUCUCCCCUCCUGUCCCUCAUGGGAAUAAGACCAUUUGCUGCUUCUGAGGAAGGUUAUUUCAUACGCCGAGGACACAACAGGAAAGUCAAGAUCAGCCACUGAUACUCAAUUGGACACCCCGAUUUUUUUUUUAAGAGAAAGGGAUGCCCAGUAACAGUAAGAUGCUUCUUAAGCAUUUUGUGUUGUUUUCAAUCCAGCCCUUCCAUUUGGACCGAAUGCCCUUUCUCUACUAAUGUUAAUACAGAAGAAAAUGAUACAGUAUCCAGUUUGACCCCCUACCGUAAAGCUGAUGUCUGGACCUGGGAGACAGAUAACACGUCUUUCAACGGACAACAUUUAACACAUGGAUCACGAUGAUACAAAAACAAUGUAAAUAAAGGGGUAAAGUGAAUGCUUUACAGAUGUUUCAAUAAAUCAUGUUUCCUUACAGACAUCAAAAUGAACAUAAGCUGCAAGUCACUGAGGACAAAUUGAAAUGAAAGCACACAGCAUGCCUGUCAGAGUGGGGGGAAAUGAAAGGCACAAGGCCAGUGGCAGAAACAAACACCAGGGGCCAUCUGCGUGAGUCGCCUGUUGGGUACUUACCACUGAACAUGGCAUAUAACACAUGCCAUAUCAGAACAGACUGUAAGUGAGGCAAAAGGAAAUAGAAGAAGAUAUUAAUAUCUCACUGGAAGAAGCCACGCCACCACUAACGUGCGCCACGGGAGCAAGUCUGACCUGGGACUUCAGCUCCAGCAAGGUGGCCUCUUCUGAGAUCUCGAGGUCCCCCACGUGGCGGAGGGAAGCCUCUGCAUACAGGUCACCUGGAGCGCCUACGAGGGACAGAGCUGGAGGUUAGAGAGGAGCUUUGCCGUGUGUUCGCUUCCUAUUUCUGAAAUACACGCCAUGUUUUGAUAUUACAAACAGGGUUAGUAUAGCUCCAUUCAAGAAACUACGAAUCCGAGUUCCUCAAAUUGGGUCCCUGGGGACUUGGGAAGGGAGGAGGCCACGCCUGGUACACUGGCAGGGAGGGAGGAUGCUGUGGGCACAAUGCCACGGUUCUCUCACUGCAGUGGGUUUGAGGAGUCUCACGCUUGUGAUGUCCACCUAGAAUAUUCUUCUCCACGUUUUCUCCUUCCUCAGAGAGAACUUUACUGGGAGGAUCCUCAGCCCUUACUAUUUUACCUUCUUGUUUCUCUCGUAACACUUACCCCAACACGUUUUGUCUGUUUUCUUGUGUGUAUGGCUUUCCUACUCUGUCUCCCCAAGACAAUGGUCAUUUUCCACAGAGGGCAGGCAUUCUCCAUCUAUCCUGCUGGUCUUUCCAGUGUCUGGGAUUGGUGGACGCCACAUAGUAAAUGGCCAGUAAAUGUCUACUGACUAAAAUUUCCUUGACAGUAAGAAGGACUUUCUACAUUUGUUUUAAAAAGGCAAAACCAAAAUGUUCUCUUAUCUAAAACUCUAGACAUAAAAAUUGGUAACUAAAUUUAAAACUCAUUUUUGCUUUGUUGAUUGCUGGACACAGUGCUGAUACACAGUAAGAUAUCAGAUUAAGUAAAUGAAGUAAAAAAGC